GCUUGCCUUUGCAAAUUCACUUGCGCUACGUUACCUUAAGUAAUAUCAUUACUUCUGCACCAUCAUGUUAUAUUUAACCACAGUAAUCUAGAAGAUCAAUAGGUAAAGACACAGAAGUCCAAAAAUUGUCCCUUAAGAGCGUAGCAAGAAAUCCUUAGCUGUUACGGUAAGUGGUCUCUAGUGUCAGCUUUCUUGUUUUCAGACGGCAUCGAAGUCACCAGUUUUUUAAAUUAGCUUAUUUUGUAGAUAUCAGGCUUAUCUGGGAAGAGAAGACUGAGUUGCAAGAAGCACCUGUGGCCGCCCCUUUAUAGUUGCAACAUGAAGUGCUCUGUUUCCUUUGUUAUCUUCCAAAGCCAAUACAGCAGGAUUUGGUUUGACUAAUUCAAGAACAAUAUCAAAAUUUUGUCCCUUUACAGCCAUGUGCAAGGCACUUUGGCCUUUUUUAUCUGUUCUAAAGCCAAUCUCAGGAUCCUUGCUUAGAAGAGAUCUAACUAUUUCCAAGUGCCCCAUUCUUGCAGCUGUAUGGAGAAUGGUCUUGCCAUUGUUACGAGCUAUCUUAGCAAGGUUUGAAUCGAUCUCCAGAAGGAGAUUUACUACAUCAAGGUGUCCCUGAGCAGCUGCAGUAUGUAAGGCUGUAGAGUUGGCUGAAUCCGUUGUCAUGACCAGGUUUGGAAAUGAAUGCAACAGCUCUUUCAGUACCUCAAGAUGACCCUGCUUUGCGGCAAUAUGGAAUGCAUCAAAACCAUUAUUUGCCAGAAUAGAAGCUGUCUGAAGGUCUAAAUGUUUUAGCAACUCUGCAACAACCAAACUAUGGCCAUUUUCUGCCGCAACAUACAGAACAGUCUCACCCUCCUGGUUUUGUUUAGAUAACAAAUCGUUGGUGCUUUUGCUAUGAACGAUUUCUUUUACCUUGCCAAGGUUCCCUGCUCUAAUUGCCAAGUGAAGUGGUGAAUCCCCUCUUUUCCCUGGUGAUUCCUUACCCCUUUUCCUCUCACCACCAAAGCUCAGCUGCCUCUCCAUCGCUAUCCGAAAACUUUUCUGCUUUUCCAUCAACCCUCUAAAGCUCCUCUGCUUCUCCAUCGUCCCAUUUCGAAAACUCUGCUGUUUCUCAAUAACCCCAUGAAAGCUAAUCUGUUUCUCCAUCAUCACCACCCCAAAAUUCAAUCCCUUCUUUUGUAUAUCACUAAUUUAUCCAAAGAAAUUCCCAAACCCCUUUUCCCACUUUCAAGAACUACAAAGCUUGAAACUUUUCAUCAUCAUCAACUAUAAUUUUUUUAGAUUCUGACUACCAAGGAACCCAAAAUCAAUGAUACCACCUCCAUUAAAAUCAGCACAAAAUAUCAAACCAAAAAUCAGACACUCUAAUCUAAGAUGAAAUCUUGGAGCUCAGAAAACAAGAAAUUCAAACCUUGAAUUUGGUGGGAUGAUUAAAAUUUCAGCUCUUACAAUAGCUCCAAAACAUCAAAAGAAACAAUCUUUAUCAAGAUUCCCCAAAACAAAACAAACAAACUACAUCAAUAGUCAAACCAAACCACCAAAAAGACAAGCUCUCCCCCAAAAAUAGAACUCAAGACCCCAUUUUUGAUGAACCCCAGAAGCUAAAAUGAGACAAUAAUGGUGACAAACCCCAAAACCAACCAAUAGAUUCUCUACUCAUUAAAAACCAGAUGCUGCAAAUCUUGAAGAAACCAAUCCAAAAAAGAUCAAAAACAUUGAAACAAAAACACCAUCAUCCCAUGUGAGAUAAUAUCAAUUCACAUGUAAUAAUAAUUGUAGUUUUUUAAGCAUCUAAUAACAGUUACUCAAAGCAAUAGGUAUA
rnacentral:misc_RNA from 1 species